UCAAAACAUUAUAAUGUGAAACAAAAGGACUAUAUUUUCUUACUAAGUUUCAGAUUAUAUUUUGCUUCCAACUGCUAACUCUUUUAGUUUCUCCAAUCAUUGCUCUUAAAAGUUAACCACCAUAUUUGCAAUAAAUGUUACUGUUAACAAUUUAUCAUUCACUGUUGUUAAAAAUGAAAUUUAUACACCGAUAAUAACAAAGAGAACCGAGGAUCAGAAAAGUUGAACAUGCCACUGUAGAGAAGUCUCUUACUAUUAACUACAUGGAUAAGAUAGUUAAGAGAGAUAUAUGAGGUUGAAAAUACACCAUAUAUAAAUAUAGUUCUCUUUUAGCUAUCAUGACGCUUUGAUCAACAUACGCCAUAGAUUAACCCUUUUGUAUCAUUAUUAAAAGUGUGAUUCAUGUAGUUGCUUUUUUCUCAUUGAUCAGGCUGAAUUUAUUGGAUUAGAGCUGCAUAUUAUGGACCUAGACCUGUAUUAGAGUUUAUGACCCUCAACUUUUCCAAGGUAAGAGUCAACCAUAAAAAAGAGCCCAAACUCUUUUUUUUUAGUUCCACUUUUACUUUUACUUUCUCAAAUUCUCUAUCUUAGCUUUUCUCAUAUGUAGAAAUGGUUAUUGCUAUGAUGCUCAAACUAUACUUAUAACAUUAACAAUGUUUAGAGAUCAAUUUUAUAUGAUUUAGGUAACACAUAAAGAUUUUAGUUCCUCUUGAAGAACCUUUUUCAUAAGUUGUCUAUUUCUGUAAUUAUCAGAAUUAGGUCGAUAUUUUAACGCCCAGUAAGCUCUAUUCUCCAUAUAUAGCUUAACAGGGGUGAACAUUCCGUCGAGAGUUAUUGCAGAUAAAAAGAACUGAGCAUAUCAGUCGAGAUCAUGAAAUUUGUCAAGAACUAAGUAAUUUUCGAGGGCGACCAUCUUCAAUUAUUAAUGUAGUAAGUUCGUUUGGUUGUAACUUUAACGUAUAAUAAUCUCCAAGAGCAUCAUCAUUAAGUUUUCACAAAAUGUGGUAAUGUUUUAGCUAAUUUUGUGUUUCUCCUUACUUUUUAAUAAUAUAAGCAUGUUCAUUCUUCUUGGAUAAUGACGGGCACUCUCUUAUUACAAGAUAUUUAAUUUUAAGAGCUUAAACUAAAAUUUUAUCUAAUCAUUGAUAAUAAUGAUUGUCACUGUUCAUCUCACUGCUUAUAUAACAUCAUCUAAUAAUUGAAGAAAAAGUUAUACUAGGGAAGGGACUAGGACCAAGUGACUACAGGGAUAUGAGAUUGUAUUAGAAUAUAGAUCUUGAACUCUUUUUCAUCUUCAUUCUCUUUUUUAAGUUAGAACACGAUCUCCCUCUCAUUUCUUCAUGAAUGCCUUUUAUUCUCUGUCGUAGUAUGAAUUAAUACUUUCAUAUAUAUCUUCAUUUACUAUGUGAAAAUUUUAUGAAAGAAGUUGACAAAAUGAGGAAUAGAAGCCAUAAUUUGGAAACAUCAUCAAUGUCUUUUACUUAUUACUUUGGACUCCAUCUGAAAUGUCGUACCACCUGUUAAAAUAGGAUAUUCUCAUGAUCUAAAUGAAGACUCAAAGAGUUGUUACAUUUUUGGUGUAUUAUGUCUAUUAUAACAACACUUGCAGACUAGCAAGCAUCGAUUCCUUAUUACAUUUUUGUAUCAUCUAGAAGUGUUGCUCAAUCUCAAGCUCCUCAAUUUAUUUGUUGAGUAUGAAAUAGAUGUUGCUCUUUGUUUUUGGGGCAAGCCUGGCAAACCCCAUCCCAAACAAGGUACUCUUGGCAACAACAUUUUCUGAUAGAGCAUUUCAUUCGUCAAUAAUACAAUAAGAUCGAAUCCUUAUGCCAACCUAUGCCUUCAGUCCCUCAUCUCCUACAAUACAUCCAAGAAUAAGGGCAAGGCAACUACAAGCUAUUGAUACACACCAGAAUUGAGGACAAUGUAUGCUCAUUUUCAGCCAAAAGCAUUCUAAAGUUGUCAAGGAUCAUUUUCUUUUGUUGCUUCUACUAUUCAAACAAUAGAAAUGUUAUUUCUUCUUUUUAUUUGAUUGUAAUUGUUCACUCUAAAUGAACAGAUUGAAUUAAGCUCCUCAAAGUGAACCAUUUUUUUAAUGAAGAUCAUCCAUCUUUGAAGA